UAUCAGAUGACUGAAGUGUAAGUUCAGGUCUUUUAACCCUGCUAUAGUAGAAACAACUACUUCUGAUAA
rnacentral:tRNA from 1 species